UAACAUCGGAACGUGCCCAAUCGUGGGGGAGUAACGCAGCGAAAGCUGUGCUAAUACCGCAUACGAUCUACGGAUGAAAGCAGGGGAUCGCAAGACCUUGCGCGAAUGGAGCGGCCGAUGGCAGAUUAGGUAGUUGGUGAGGUAAAGGCUCACCAAGCCUUCGAUCUGUAGCUGGUCUGAGAGGACGACCAGCCACACUGGGACUGAGACACGGCCCAGACUCUACGGGAGGCAGCAGAC
rnacentral:rRNA from 1 species